rnacentral:rRNA from 1 species
AACGAACGCUGGCGGCAGGCCUAACACAUGCAAGUCGAACGCCCCGCAAGGGGAGUGGCGCACGGGUGAGUAACGCGUGGGAAUAUGCCCUUCGGUUCGGAAUAACACAGGGAAACUUGUGCUAAUACCGGAUACGAUCUACGGAUGAAAGAUUUAUCGCCGAGGGAGUAGCCCGCGUAGGAUUAGCUAGUUGGUGAGGUAAUGGCUCACAAAGGCGACGAUCCUUAGCUGGUCUGAGAGGAUGAUCAGCCACACUGGGACUGAGACACGGCCCAGAAUCCUACGGGAGGAAGCAGUGGGGAAAAUUGUACAAUGGGCGAAAGCCUGAUCCAGCCAUGCGGCGUGAGUGAUGAAGGCCUUAGGGUUGUAAAGCUAUUUCGCCAGGGAAGAUAAUUACGGUACCUGGAAAAGAAGCCUCGGCUAACUCCGUGCCAGCCGCCGCCGUAA